CCCAGAUUAGGGACCCAGAAUAGCUCUAGGCACCCCCCUCCCGGACUCUCACAGGGACAGACAGCGGCCGGGAGGUGGGGGUCCCUGUUCCAGCCUGAGGAAGGAGGACCCGGCCCUGCCGAGCCCAGCAAGUGCCAGGUGGAGAUGCCCUCGGCCCCGUGGGGGUAUAGGGGGCACCCUCCCUGCCCCCUCCCCUCUGGUCAGGGCCCUGGGUCACAGCCCUGUCCCAUCACAGAGGACUCGUGGCAGUGGGUUCUCUCUUGCUCUUCCACCUUCUCCCAUGUGAGGACACAGCAAGAAGGCCCUACCAGAUGGCAGCACCUUGAUCCUGGACUUC
rnacentral:lncRNA from 1 species